CUGUUCACUGGCCUGGGCACAUCUUUACGCUGCAUCGGCGACACGAGCCAGGGUUAGAAGAACGGAGAACCAGCGCAUCCGGAAUGAUCUUUACCGCGGAGCAUUCGGGCACCCACAUAGACGCUCUGUGCCACCAAGCCGAAGACCUGCGUAUGUACGGUGGCAUUGAGGUCACGGCGGACAUCCAGACAUCGACGGGCUUUACGGAGCUGGGGGUGGAUAGCAUCCCCCCGAUCGUGAAGCAGGGAAUCCUGCUCGAUAUUGCCGCAACGAAAGGUGGAGCACUACCUCCAGAAUACAGGGUGACCGAUGAUGACCUGCGUAGAGCCUCGUCCCGGCAAGAAGUGACCGUCUCU
rnacentral:misc_RNA from 1 species